UACGGAGGGUGCAAGCGUUAUCCGGAUUCACUGGGUUUAAAGGGUGCGUAGGCGGGCAGGUAAGUCAGUGGUGAAAUCUCCGGGCUUAACCCGGAAACUGCCGUUGAUACUAUCUGUCUUGAAUAUCGUGGAGGUAAGCGGAAUAUGUCAUGUAGCGGUGAAAUGCUUAGAUAUGACAUAGAAUACCAAUUGCGAAGGCAGCUGGCUACACGAAUAUUGACACUCAGGCACGAAAGCGUGGGGAUCAAACAGG
rnacentral:rRNA from 1 species